rnacentral:rRNA from 1 species
UUGUCUCAAAGAUUAAGCCAUGCAUGUCUCAGUACAAGCCAAAUUAAGGUGAAACCGCGAAAGGCUCAUUAAAUCAGUUAUGGUUCCUUAGAUCGUACACACAUUUACUUGGAUAACUGUGGUAAUUCUAGAGCUAAUACAUGCAAACAGAGCUCCGACCGGAGACGGAAGGAGCGCUUUUAUUAGAUCAAAACCAAUCGAUGGCGGGUUCGCCAGUCAUCGUAUAACUUGGUGACUCUGAAUAACUUUAUGCUGAUCGCACGGUCUAGCACCGGCGACGCAUCUUUCAAAUGUCUGCCUUAUCAACUGUCGAUGGUAGGUUCUGCGCCUACCAUGGUUGUAACGGGUAACGGGGAAUCAGGGUUCGAUUCCGGAGAGGGAGCCUGAGAAACGGCUACCACAUCCAAGGAAGGCAGCAGGCGCGCAAAUUACCCACUCCCGGCACGGGGAGGUAGUGACGAAAAAUAACGAUACGGGACUCAUCCGAGGCCCCGUAAUCGGAAUGAGUUCACUCUAAACCCUUUCACAAGGAUCAAUUGGAGGGCAAGCCUGGUGCCAGCAGCCGCGGUAACACCAGCUCCAAUAGCGUAUAUUAAAGUUGUUGCGGUUAAAAAGCUCGUAGUCGAAUCUGUGUCCCGCGCCGACGGUUCAUCGUCCGCGGUGUUAACUGUCGUGCCGCGGGACGUCCUGCCAGUGGGACUAGCCCUUUAUGGGCUGCCCAAAUCAAUCCCGCCGCGGUGCUCUUCAUUGAGUGUCGAGGUGGGCUGGCACGUUUACUUUGAACAAAUUAGAGUGCUUAAAGCGGGCUAAAACUUUGCCUGAAUAUUGUGUGCAUGGAAUAAUAGAAUAGGACCUCGGUUCUAUUUUGUUGGUUUUCGGAACCCCGAGGUAAUGAUUAAUAGGAACGGAUGGGGGCAUUCGUAUUGCGACGUUAGAGGUGAAAUUCUUGGAUCGUCGCAAGACGGACAGAAGCGAAAGCAUUUGCCAAAAACGCUUUCAUUGAUCAAGAACGAAAGUUAGAGGUUCGAAGGCGAUCAGAUACCGCCCUAGUUCUAACCAUAAACGAUGCCAGCUAGCGAUCCGCCGAUGUUCCUCCGAUGACUCGGCGGGCAGCUUCCGGGAAACCAAAGUUUUUGGGUUCCGGGGGAAGUAUGGUUGCAAAGCUGAAACUUAAAGGAAUUGACGGAAGGGCACCACCAGGAGUGGGGCCUGCGGCUCAAUUUGACUCAACACGGGAAAACUUACCAGGCCCAGACACCGGAAGGAUUGACAGAUUGAGAGCUCUUUCUUGAUUCGGUGGGUGGUGGUGCAUGGCCGUUCUUUGUUCGUAGAGCGAUUUGUCUGGUUUAUUCCGAUAACGGACGAGAUCUUAACCUGCUAACUAGACGUUUUAGACAUCCCAAAGGCCCGUACCUGUCUUCGGGUUCGCCCUGGGCAGGUGCGCGGUUUUUACUGUCUGCGUAAAUUACAUUCUUCUUAGAGGGACGGGCGGCUUCUAGCCGCACGAAAUUAGCCAAUAACAGGUCUGUAUGCCCCUCGAUGUUCUGGGCCGCACGCGCGCUACACUGAAGGAAUCAGCGUGUCCUCCCUGGCCGAGUGGCCCGGGUAACCCGCUGAAACUCCUUCGUGCUAGGGAUUGGGGCUUGUAAUUAUUCCCCAUGAACGAGGAAUUCCCAGUAAGCAUGAGUCAUAAGCUCAUGUUGAUUACGUCCCUGCCCUUUGUACACACCGCCCGUCGCUACUAGCGAUUGAAUGAUUUAGUGAGGUCUUCGGACUGGUACGCGGGGGCGUUUCGACGUCACCGAUGUUGCCGGGAAGAUGACCAAACUUGAUCAUUU